rnacentral:tRNA from 1 species
GGGCCUAUAGCUCAGUUGGUAGAGCAGGGGACUCAUAAUCCCUUGGUCGUAGGUUCAAGUCCUACUGGGCCCACCA